UCCAGGUUUUACUUCUGGUUGCCUGUAAGGGUUUUGCUCCUCCCUUCUGAAAUCCUAUAUUAGCUGUGGCCAAAGCUGGGUAAGAAACACAGCUCAUUGUUGGCAAGUGCCGAUGAGCCUCGCAGAGGAGUGAGGAGCGGCGCUGGGGCUGCGGCAGCGGCAGAGCCCCGCCGUCACGUCAGCCCGGCAGAGGAGGGCAGCGCGCUCUAUGCGGGGUGACUGCUGCUGACUGAUUCCACCGCCACCUUUGAAGGGAAAGAAGAAAGCGGCCGGGAGGUGGGAGAUGGCGGAACACAUGAUGGCCAUGAACCACGGGCGAUUCCCCGACGGCGCCGGCGGGCUCCACCACCACCCCGCGCACCGGCUGGGCAUGGGGCAGUUCGCCGCCCCCCACCACCACCAGCAGCAGCAGCAGCAGCCGCACGCCUUCAGCGCCCUGAUGGGAGACCAUAUACAUUACGGAGCGGGCAAUAUGAACGCGAGCGGCGGGGUCCGGCACGCCAUGGGGCCGGGCGGCGUGGGCGGGGGGCACCCGGCCGGCAGCAUGCCGCCCCCCGCCCGCUUCAGCGGCUCUCAGUUCAUGCCCCCCCCCGUGGGCAGCCCGGGAGGGCAGCUGAGCGCCAGCAUGCAGCUGCAGAAGCUCAACAACCAGUACUUCAGCCACCACCCGUACCCGCACGGCCACUACGUGCCGGACUUGCACACCGGCGGCCACCCGCUGAGCGGCGGCGGACAGCAUUUCAGGGACUGCAACCCCAAGCACGGCGGCGGAGGCAGCGGCUUGCCGCCCGCCGUGCCCCACGUCCCCGCGGCGAUGCUGCCGCCCAAUGUCAUAGACACUGACUUCAUCGACGAGGAGGUCCUCAUGUCCUUAGUCAUCGAAAUGGGGCUGGAUCGCAUCAAGGAGCUGCCCGAGCUGUGGUUGGGACAGAACGAGUUUGACUUCAUGACGGACUUCGUUUGCAAACAGCAGCCCAGCAGGGUGAGCUGCUGAUUCAUUUCCAACAAACAAAGGACUUUCUAGCGGUGCGAGUGAAAACAUUCCCCCCGACGCGGUGUCUCACUUUUCGCUGCCCGAAAAGCAGGUGUUCCUCGUGAAAUCAAUGGGAGCUCCACAUACAGAGCAGCUGCAGGGCCAAGCUCUUAGACUCAGCAGGGGAGAAAUGAUUCCCAAGAGGUGUCCGUGCAAAAUGUCUGCUUGGUCCAGAUGUUUACAACACUUCUAUAGAAGUAAAUUAAACCCAGCGGAGAUCAGUCUUGACAGACCUGGCACUGGGACCUCAUAGGAUUCUUCUCACAGCACUCUGUUCCCACAGCAGGGGAACACUGCCAGACUCAACAAGCUUCUGACUUCUACACCACUGCAUACGUAACACUGUGCUUUUGUGUCUCAAGACCUUUGUGAGAGCUAUGUCUGAACCACAUUAUUCCUAUACGUUAUACUUUCAUUAUAUAUCCUACAUAUAUGCAUGUUACUAUACGUAUGGUUUAUUAUCAUGGUAUAAGUGUGUUAUGCAAAUGUACAGUAGCACAGGGAUAUUAUGGUACAUAAUGGUUUAAACAGAAUGGAUCAAUUUUAUUUUCAGUAUAAUGAGGUGAAACAGUAGAAGACAGGAGACCUGGGGAGGCUCUCUCACUGUCCUGCAGGCCUAACCAGUCUAUAUGGCUUCCAGUGGUUGUCACGGUUCCUGCAGAAAUAAAACUUUCAUUUAGGAGGAAAAUGAAAAACCCUUAAAGGUUUUUAAGAGACUUUAACUAACACAGUACUGUCUGGAGGCAGAGUCCGCAUUUUUUUAAAAGACCUUAAACAUUUAAGAGGGUUACUCUAAACUUGAACUUAGAUCUUUCACCAAAACCUCCCCAUGGCACACAGAAGGAAUACCCCGUCCUCCCAAACAGCUGUUUCAAUGCCAGAGACUUUAGUGUUGAUGGGAGAGGGGAGCAUCAGUGAGUAAGAGCUGAACGUUCCAAGUGAGGAAAAUGGUCUUUGGAAAGAAAAAGAUACAAAUAAAAAGGGGGGAGGGGAAAGAAAACCAGAAGGCUUUAAUAACAAUGGCUUAAUAGUAAAUUAGUCCUUCUACUUGGUGAGGCUGAAUUCACUGAAUGUCACAUAGAAAAAAAUGAGAAAUUUAGGUGAAAAUGUACUCGUUAUUUUCCGCCUGGUAAGCAUAUUUCUUCAGUAGCUUUAUGCUGAUGAUGAUUAUGUUUAAUCCAGAAAUAAGCUACAACAUGAGCAGUUUCCAUGUAAAAUUACCAAAGACAUAGGUGAAAAUGCCACAAUACUGGUUGUGGAUACAUAAUCCAUCUCAUGAAAGACAGUUGAAAUUCAGCCUUACUACAUUAGAUUAUCAAGAAGUGGUCUGUCAUUAAAAUGGGAAACAUACGUUUC